rnacentral:rRNA from 1 species
ACACGUAGGAGGCAAGCGUUAUUCGGAUUUACUGGGCGUAAAGCGCGUGCAGGCGGUUUGGUAAGUUGGAUGUGAAAGCUCCCGGCCUAACUGGGAGAGGGCGUUCAAUACUACCAGAAUAGAGGAUGGGAGAGGGAGGGGGGAUUCCGGGUGUAGGGGUGAAAUGCGUAGAUAUCCGGAGGAACACCAGUGGCGAAAGCGGCCUCCUGGCCCAUUUCUGACGCUCAGACGCGGAAGCUAGGGUAGCAAACGGGAUUAGAGACCCCGGUAGUCCUAGCUGUAAACGAUGUGAACUUGGCGUCGGCGGGUUUAAAUCCGUCGGUGCCGAAGCUAACGCGAUAAGUUCACCGCCUGGGGACUACGGCCGCAAGGUUAAAACUCAAAUGAAUUGACGGGG